GCCAAACAGCACCCAUAUGCGCCCCCACAGCCAAGUUAGGAAAAGGGGGAGAACCUCGCCCUAACAUGAGCAAAGUCGAAGGCCCGGUUACACUCAGAUCGGGUGGGGGGAGAGGCCCCGCAGCACCCAUAUGCGCCCCCAUAGCCCUGUUAGCGAUAAGAGGAGGACCUCGUCCUAACCUAAGCUAAAAUUGAUUAUGUC
rnacentral:lncRNA from 1 species